AAAUCCUGUUCGACUAUUUAUUUGUGCUUGCAGCCAAGAUGGACCCGUUCUCUUCAAACCGAUACCGAUACAAGUCACAUAGUGUCGACUAUCCUUACGAACCACAGUACAAAUAUCAAAAGAGUUGGUUACCCAUACUAAGAGAAAUCUACACGGACCGCAUGGACACCCACACGGACGCCAGACUACUUUUUGAUGCCAUAAAGAAGGGGAAAUACCGCCUGGCCAAAUUUAUACUGGACGCUUCCCCGAGUGAUUUGGCCAAUUCAACAGACUUAAAGGGCAAGAACCCCCUCACUCUAUGUUGUCAGAUCAAGGAACAGAUGCAAAGGAGCGAGAUGAGCCUGCUGUUCCUGGAGAAAGGAACGGACGUGAACUCUCAAGAUGACCACGGACGCACGACGAUGAGUUACGCGUGCGAAACGAAAUGUAAUGAUAUCGUCGACAUACUUGUCAGACAGAACGACGUCGAUCCCGAUCUGGAGGACCUCAAAGGCAAUACACCGCUCAUAUACGGCUCUAUAGUCGGAAAUGAUGUCGCCACGGAUUUGUUGACUCGCAACUUCCGGCGACUUGGGUUGGAGAUUGAUCAUGCGAACAAAAACGGUUUCACAGCUCUCUUGACUGCAGCCAAGCACGGGAACAUCUCUUGUGCCCGAAUCCUUGCCCAGCAAGGUCAGGCUUCGCUCCAUGUCAGGGACAAAGUACAUGGCUACUCUGUUCAAGAAUGGUUAAAACUCGGCGGAUAUACACUCGAAGAUAUAGUUUCAGAGAAAAAAAUAAACCAGUUGAAGUUUAAGCCCAAAUUUGUCAACGCACUCAGCAUCACACGACUCUCAAUUCCAAACAGUUAUAACACUGGUGAUGAUACCAGUGAUAACGACGACCAUCGUGGCGAGGUCGAACGGUACAGUGGUCACAGAGACGAGAGAAGGAGUAUCCACCGACAGUCUAGCUAUAGAGAGGACAGGGGCAGCCGUAGGGACAACAUAGAUCGUAGAGGCAGUCACCGGGAAGACAGGCGAGGCAGCCCGCGUGAUGACAGACGAGGAAGUCCGCGUGAAGACCGUCGGGGCAGUUUCCGACAGGAGCAUCGGAAUAGUCAGAGGGAGGACAAAAGGUCCAGUUUCAGAGAUGAGAAACGAGAGAGUUUGAGGAGAUUGAGAAAACAGCAAAGUACUGAAAAAGAACGUAAGGAAAUGUUAAGCCGGGAGAUCGUCGACCUGAUCGAGUCAAACGGGAACUCCGGAGAGAGCACACUGAUAAUCGACCCGAGUUUACCGGUUUCGAAUUCCAUGCUGAGAAGGAAAAGUUUGAUGAGUGUGAUCGACCCGACGGUACUGAAGAACGUCAUCGUCCUGCCUCCCAUCAACAAGCUGCAACUCGACGAUUCCGACCCUAGCGACACGGACGCUGAUAACACAGAGGUCGACGACUACGAGCAAAACACCGUGCAACGGAAAGAUUUCAUUUGUGCGAGAACCGAUCUCGUGCGUAAUGACGACGAUGAUGACGACAGUGAAACUGUAUACACUAGUAAGGAAGAUGAUCGGGCGCCGAUUUUCUGAAGGGAUAUCUUUCAAAGAUUGGUAUCCUCAUUUUCGGUUAUUACUGUUCACGAUAGGUGGCCGUGAUUGUAUAGAAACACGCGGGUAAUUUGUAUCUAUAUAUAACGUCGAGUGAUUUUUGUCUGAAAACUUCCCACUAAACGCGUUUAAUCAUUCCUUGUAUCCGUGUAUUUUUACAAUGUCCGCCAUUCGUUGAACACAAAACAGACCUUUGUUUCGAAAUGCGAUUCUGAUAUCCGACCAACCUGUCAAUCUCCAACACCAAAACACUAAAAGUGUCACCUUGACAGCUCGGAAUCCACUGACAAACUAAGUAGGCUUACUAUGGUAAUUGACAGUCACUGGAAGAUGUUAAGAACAAUAUAUUUCGGUUAACAAACGAAGAAAUCAAGACAAUGAUUAAACAAUAUAAUAUUUAAAAUGUAUGUGUUUAUGGCCUGUGAUAAUCGGAUGUUAUAAACUGUCGUUUUCGUUCACAGAUGUGACGUGACGCUGACGUAACGUUGUGUCCCGUUCAUUAGACGGCGCCACAAACGGUUAGUUUGCAAUGUUAGCGCAGCAAAAUCGAAUCUUGCUAUCAAGGGAGUUACAGUGGCAUUUAUUCAAUUUAAACCAGAGUUACUGCCCGUCCUACUCGUCCUGUGGUACUGGGUGUAGUGAUUAUUAUCAUACGAAGGUGAGAUACAUCAUUUACAUUUGUGAAUUUAUUUUCAAAAUUCGUUCUAUAUUGCAUAAAAAUAUCUUUUCCAAACAUCGAAAAAUAUAUCAAUCGUUUUUUUUUUUAUAAAAACGUUAAUAUAUAUAUGCAACUCCAAGUGAAUUUACACCUUUUAUACACCGAAACACGUUUUCUCGUAAACUGAUUGUGGUAUUAAGGUGACAAACUGUGAUGUUAGGUACAGUCGGGAACCUUGAUAAUCCGGACAAGUGAUAGACUGUGAUGUUAGGCACAGUCGGGAACCUUGACAAUCCGGACAAGUGGUAGACUGUGAUGUAAGAAGCAAUCGGGAACUUUGAUAAUCCGGACAAGUGAUAGACUGUGAUGUAAGGUACAGCCGGGAAACUUGAUAAUCCGGGCAAGUGAUAGACUGUGAUGUUAGGUAUACAUCCGGAAAACUUGAUAAUUCGGGCAAGUGAUAAACAGGGAUGUUAGGUAAAGUCGGGAACUUUCAUAAUGCGGACUAUUGGUAAACUGUGAUGUGAGGUACACUCGGGAACCUUGAUUAACCGGACAAGUGAUAGACUGAGCUAUUAUACAUAGUGGGAAACUUCAUAAUCCGGACAAGUGAUAGACUGUGAUCUUUGGUGUAUACUCAGAAACCUUUUACGAGUAAGUAGGCAGUGUUAUUUCGUUCAGUAGAAAGUUUAUGUUACCCACUGUAAAACCUUAAUAGUGUGGACUUAUUUUAUCCGAAAAUCUCGCUUUCUGGAGGCUUUAAUCAAGUGUACAAUAGAUCAUUUUGUUCUUUUGUUGUCCGCUCGAAUAAGUUAUCACAGAAAUGUUAUUGAUAACAUGUCCAGAUUAGUAGGGAAAUUUUAAUACAAUAUAUCAACCACGUGCUACUUUUAUGUUAUGAUUUUAUUGAGAACCAGAGGUCAGACGUAAUAUAUGUAGGGUCGGUAUCUGUAGUGCUGUGUUGUGUCUUACUCUAUAUAGACAUUGGUGACAUCAUCCUUAGUUUAACAUAGAUAUUGAACUUUCUGAAUAAGGCAAGUAUUUGAAAGUAUAUAUUGCAUGUUUUGUAAAACGUGUAUAGAGAUAGUUGACAAAAAUGCCAGUGAAAACAGUACCAGUCACUUCUCUCAAUUAGAUCAUUCCUCGUAACUAACUCUCUGAAAUCAAUGUUAUUUAUUUUGUAUUUAUCCCAAUAAGACAGAUUCAUUGUGAUUAAAAAUAAGUUUUUUUCUAUGAAGACCUUGAUCAUUUUUACUACAAAUGGUUAAUUUAAUGGAAUUGUAUAAUUGCACGUUGAAAAGCGUAAAGGUCAUGGACGAAGGCUCGCGAAUAAAAUGUAAACGGACAAAUUUAUUGCAGAAACAAAGUUGUGGGAUAAACAUAUUCGUUGACUAAAUACAGUUAAUUAUCAUUUCACCCUUUUAGUUAGCUUUUAUAACAGCCACAGCAGAUAAACCUCGCGUCUUUUGUAAAAAAAAAAAAUGAACUCACGAUAUUGGCUGAACACAUCGGGUAACUAACGUCAAUUUUUAUGAAUCUUCAUGCAUUGUUUUGUGGUUUCUUUUUAUUUGUGAAUAUGAAACAAAUCAAUGUUUAGUUUUAAUUGUCUAACUUAUAAACAAUUAUAUAUGUGUACAUUUUCUUACUUGAAAUAUAUAUUUGUGUUGUUGCUGUAUGGUAUACAAUAAUUCUUAACGAAUCGGCAUUGAUUGUAACCUACAAUAAAUGUUACCACUCGGAACUUCUCUUCUGUUAAUAUUUCACUUUAGUAAAUAAUGGUGAAAGUCGUCUUCAGCUGGUCAACAGGCGAUGUUAAUAGUAAAUCAAGAGCUGUUCGAGUGGCAAAUAAAAGGGGAGGUAAGUUUCAUAUUAUAUCUUACGUAUUUGAGAAAUAAGUUUGCAAUGCAACUGGAAAUAUACACGUAUCUACACUUGUGAAUAAAAAAAAAAU
rnacentral:misc_RNA from 1 species